rnacentral:rRNA from 1 species
CUCUUCCUAUCCUGGAUGUGCACAAGCAUCCAAGGGUGUCGGAGUUCACGCAUUAAAAGGGAUCGUUAGCUGGGUUAAGAACGUCGUGAGACAGUUUGUAUGAUAUCUACUAGAUGUGUGGUUGUUUGAGUGGAAGGACCCUCCAGUACGAGAGGAACGUGGGUUCGGAGCCUCUGGUCUACCAGUUGUUAUGAGCAGGCUGGGCAGCUACGCUCCACACCGAUAAGUGCUGAAAGCAUCUAAGCACGAAGCGGUCCGCAAAACGAGACAACAAAUGCCGCGGUAAAAGACCGCGUUGAUAGAGACGGAAUGUAAGC